rnacentral:rRNA from 1 species
AACGAACGCUGGCGGCGUGCCUAACACAUGCAAGUCGAGCGCGAAUAGGGGUAACCCUUAGUAGAGCGGCGCACGGGUGCGUAACACGUGGAUAAUCUGCCUGGAUGCCUGGUAUAACCAGUCGAAAGAUUGGCUAAUACCGCAUAAGCCCACGACCACUCUGGUGGAUGGGGGAAAAGCUGGCAACUGUAUACAAGCUAGCACUAGAGGAUGAUCCUGCGGCGCCUCAGCUAGUUGGUGGGGUAAUGGCCCACCAAGGCUAAGACGCGUAGAUGGUCUGAGAGGAUGAUCAGCCACACUGGGACUGAAACACGGGCCAGACUCCUACGGGAGGCAGCAGUGGGGAAUAUUGGACAAUGGGCGCAAGCCUGAUCCAGCCACGCCGCGUGAGUGAUGAAGGCCUUCGGGUUGUAAAGCUCUGUGGGGAGGGACGAAAACGGCGUACAAGAAACGGUACGUCCUUGACGGUACCUCCUUAGCAAGCACCGGCUAACUCUGUGCCAGCAGCCGCCGUAA